rnacentral:lncRNA from 1 species
UUUCUUUUAUUUUGUAUUUUCGGCUAUAAAAAGAGCCGAUUCAUUCAUUAUACGGGGGAGGGGCUUCCUUUUUUUACGAAUAUUUCAGAAAAUAAAAAAUGAAAAAACGUUUAAGGUGAUUUUUUAUUUUUUGUUUUAGAUCUAUUUUAUUUUUUUUGUGUUUUUUCUCUGUGUAUAUAAACAAAAACGAAAAAGAAAAAGAAGGUACCUGGCAGAUCCCUCGGCCGUCGUUGGGAGUCACUUCGGUCGCCGAAAUCAGGCUGAGAGAGGGCGCUGGGAUCUUUCCCUUUGGCCCUCGGUUCAUGAAGGCCCGGCCUUUAUUUGAUUUUUGAAGCAGGGUUAAAAAACCCAUUUCUUCGGUGGCUACGACCACCGUCUGCGGUGGAGCCAUGGUGGCCGACAUGACCGGGCCGAUGGCCGGAACCCCUAGGCCGAAAAGGGGAUUCGGGAGAAAAAGGGGAGGUUUUUAAUUUUUUUAAAAGAGGAUGGCAGCAAAUGAGUUUUUUUUUUAAAAAAAUUUGGUUUAAAUAGGGAUGCAAAACGGCGCCGUUUUGGGCUAGGGUUAACAGGCUUCAAAAUAACGCCGUUUAACUCUGACCCGCGCAUGACCCGACCCGUUCCAGGAGGAUCCGCGUGUUUUUUUGCGGAAGGGUAAAUUGCGCUUUUAGCCCCUCCGUUUCUUAAUGUUUUAGCAAUCAGGUUUUUCUUACUUUUUAAAUUUACCCCUUUAAAUUAUUUUCGAUUUCAAUUUAGCCUUACUGGGAUGACGCCAUUUUGGAGGGUGAGAGAUUAUUGCCCAUUUAGUCCCUCCUCAUUAUCAACGCGUUCAUUUUGGCCCCUUCUCUUUUAUUCAUUUGCGAUUUGACCCCGAAUUUUAGUUUUUGACUUCAAUUUAGCCUUCUGUUUGCAUUUUUGUUAUUUUAUUAUUAAAACUAAUAUAUUAUUAUUAUUAUUAUUACUAUUCAUAUUAUUGUUAUUAUCAUUAUAUCUCCAUUAAUAUUUACUUAUGUAAAUUUUAAAUAUAUGUGUCUUAUUAUAUUAUUAUAAUUAUAUAUAUAUCUUUUCUUGUUAAAACUUUAGAUUAUUUGUUAUUCCACUAUUAAUAUUAAUAUUAUUAUUUACUUAUUUAUAUCUUUUCUUUCAUUUUAAACUUUGUUAUAUAUAAAUAUACAUACAUAGAUUUUUACUUUUAUAAUUUUAUUUAUUUUUGUAUUGUUAUUAUUUUUUUAUCUUUUAUUUAUUUAUUUAUGUGUUCAUCAUUAUUUUUAUGAAAUGUUUUAGCCCUAGUUGUUUAUUAUUUCAUGUAUGAUUGUUUUGUCCCUUUCAUUUAUUUAUUUUCAUUGAUAUUGCUCGUAUUAUUUUUACUCCAUCGUAUUUAUUGUUGUUUUGUUAUGAGUAUCCACAAUGCAAUUUGUUUUCUCAUUUUUAUUACGACAUCGUGUUUCAUUUUAGUCGAUAUAUCAAAAUUUAUUUUUCGUAUUUUGAGAUUUGAAAAAUCGUACCCUAACUUACGGGGUUUCGUUUUUCUCGAUAAAUCCAAAUACACAAAUCAUUUCAAACAAAGUUUUUAAAUAUUCUUGGGAAUUAACAAAAGAUCGUGUUCUAACUCACGGGAACAUGAUCUUGUUCCUAAACCCGAGAUAAUCAAAUAUCUUUCAAAAUGAAUAAAUUUUUGGCAUUUAUUCUCGUGUCGAGAAUUUGAGACAUUGUGUCCUAACUUACUGGAUAUAAUUCUCUUUCUUGAUUAAUGUAAAAUAUGUCAUUUUCCCGAAAAUUUUUAACAUUUCAAUAAAGGAUCGUAUUUUAAAUCUUUUUAAAGUUUUCAAUCUUCGACACUAAGACAUUAAUUAAUCAAUUAGGUACCAAUUUUGGGGUUACGAGGGUGCUAAUCCUUCCUCAUACGUAACCGACUCCCGAACCUGUUUUUCUGAAUUUUGUGGACCAAAAUCGUUGUUUUAAUAAAAUCAAAUCGUUUAUUAGAAAUAACCACUUUUCGAGGUGAUUCGAUCACACCUCAUCAAAAAAGAUUGGUGGCGACUCUCGUUUUCGUUUUCUUUUUCAAAAUCCAAGUCGACCCCGUUUGUCAAAAAAUGGUGUCAACAACAGUCAUUAGCCUAGUGGUGACUACCAUUUUUACAUCCUCGGGUGAACAACCCAUAAUGUUUUCAUUAGUGAUAAGAUAAAAUAAUUUCUUAAUAAAUAUGUAGUUUAUAUAAUAAAUGUUGUUUAUUUAUUAUAAGUUUAAAUUAACAUAUCGCUUGUAUAGAUGAAAUCAUGGGCCGAGUUACGUGGGAAUACUCGAGUAGUUCGAGGAUAUAGUAAAAAAGUUUGUGUCAGAGAAUUUCAAUAACCAUUAGAGAAUAUGAAAGGUGGGACUGAAUAUAACGUCAUCUUCUUGUUGUCAAGCAGGCGACGAUAAGAGAGGGGAGCACCUGUUAUUCCUUUGUUAACAUCGGUCGCAACUUUGCAUGUCUCCAAUGGCGAUUUCUCAAGGAAAGCUUUACAUUCU